rnacentral:rRNA from 1 species
UACGAAGGGGGCUAGCGUUGCUCGGAAUCACUGGGCGUAAAGCGCACGUAGGCGGACUCUUAAGUCAGGGGGUGAAAUCCUGGAGCUCAACUCCAGAACUGCCUUUGAUACUGGGAGUCUUGAGUUCGGGAGAGGUGAGUGGAACUGCGAGUGUAGAGGUGAAAUUCGUAGAUAUUCGCAAGAACACCAGUGGCGAAGGCGGCUCACUGGCCCGAUACUGACGCUGAGGUGCGAAAGCGUGGGGAGCAAACAGG